rnacentral:rRNA from 1 species
GACGAACGCUGGCGGCGUGCCUAAUACAUGCAAGUCGAACGCUUCUUUCCUCCCGAGUGCUUGCACUCAAUUGGAAAGAGGAGUGGCGGACGGGUGAGUAACACGUGGGUAACCUACCCAUCAGAGGGGGUAACACUUGGGAAAAGGGGCUAAUAACGCAUAAAAAUUUUUUCCGCAUUGCAUAAAGAGUAAAAGCGCUUUCGGGGGUCGCCGGUGGGUGGAACCGCGGUGCAUUAGCUAGUUGGUGAGGUAACGGCUCACCAAGGCCACGAUGCAUAGCCGACCUGAGAGGGUGAUCGGCCACACUGGGACUGAGACACGGCCCAGACUCCUACGGGAGGCAGCAGUAGGGAAUCUUCGGCAAUGGACGAAAGUCUGACCGAGCAACGCCGCGUGAGUGAAGAAGGUUUUCGGAUCGUAAAACUCUGUUGUUAGAGAAGAACAAGGACGUUAGUAACUGAACGUCCCCUGACGGUAUCUAACCAGAAAGCCACGGCUAACUACGUG